UACGGAGGGUGCGAGCGUUGUUCGGAUUUACUGGGCGUAAAGGGCGCGUAGGCGGCCACCGCAAGUCGACUGUGAAAUCUCCGGGCUUAACCCGGAAAGGUCAGCCGAUACUGCGGGGCUAGAGUGCAGAAGGGGCAACUGGAAUUCUCGGUGUAGCGGUGAAAUGCGUAGAUAUCGAGAGGAACACCUGCGGCGAAGGCGGGUUGCUGGGCUGACACUGACGCUGAUGCGCGAAAGCUAGGGGAGCGAACGGG
rnacentral:rRNA from 1 species